AACGAACGCUGGCGGCAGGCUUAACACAUGCAAGUCGAACGCAUCCUUCGGGGUGAGUGGCAGACGGGUGAGUAACGCGUGGGAACGUGCCCUUCAGUUCGGGAUAACCCAGGGAAACUUGGGCUAAUACCGGAUACGUGCGAGAGCAGAAAGAUUCAUCGCUGAAGGAUCGGCCCGCGUCUGAUUAGCUAGUUGGUGGGGUAAUGGCCCACCAAGGCGGCGAUCAGUAGCUGGUCUGAGAGGAGGAUCAGCCACAUUGGGACUGAGACACGGCCCAAACUCCUACGGGAGGCAGCAGUGGGGAAUAUUGGACAAUGGGCGCAAGCCUGAUCCAGCCAUGCCGCGUGAGUGAUGAAGGCCUUAGGGUUGUAAAGCUCUUUCGUCCGGGACGAUAAUGACGGUACCGGAAGAAGAAGCCCCGGCUAACUUCGUGCCAGCCGCCGCAGUAA
rnacentral:rRNA from 1 species